GCGCCGGCAGAGUGUAAUAAAGAGGGGAGACAGAGAGCUGGUUUCAAGCGCAGGGCGCAGCAGGUGUUUAUUACAAAGGACCACAGGAGGCAGGCAGGUAGCUGGGUCCAGGGGCAGGCAGAAGGUCAUACACAGGAGGAGGCAGGUAGCUGGGUCCAGGGGCAGGCAGAAGGUCAUACACAGGAGGAGGCAGGUAGCUGGGUCCAGGGGAAGGCAGAAGGUCAUACACAGGAGGAAGCAGGUAGCUGGGUCCAGGGGCAGGCAGAAGGUCAUACACAGGAGGAAGCAGGUAGCUGGGUCCAGGGGCAGGCAGAAGGUCAUACACAGGAGGAGGUAGGUAGCUGGGUCCAGGGGCAGGCAGAAGGUCAUACACAGGAGGAAGCAGGUAGCUGGGUCCAGGGGCAGGCAGAAGGUCAUGCACAGGGGGUCCAAAAGGGCAAC
ensembl:lncRNA